rnacentral:pre_miRNA from 10 species
UCCUGCUCGCCGCCUCUCUCCGUGUCCUGCCAGUGGUUUUACCCUAUGGUAGGUUACGUCAUGCUGUUCUACCACAGGGUAGAACCACGGACGGGAUGCUGGGGCUGCCUCUGCGGCCAAGG